AGAGUUUGAUCCUGGCUCAGAUUGAACGCUGGCGGCAUGCCUAACACAUGCAAGUCGAACGAGGUAGCAAUACCUAGUGGCGGACGGGUGAGGAAUACGUAGGGAUCUGCCUUUAAGUGGGGGAUAACCCGGGGAAACCCGGAUUAAUACCGCAUGAUCUCGCAAGAGCAAAGUGGGGGAUCGCAAGACCUCACGCUUUUAGAGGAACCUACGUCGGAUUAGCUUGUUGGUGAGGUAAUGGCUCACCAAGGCGACGACGGG
rnacentral:rRNA from 1 species